CCACUUCAUCGGUGAGUGCACCUUCGGAGUUGGACUUAAUCAUGGGCUUGGCUAAGCCAGCCCAUGAACCAAACCCACUCUUGCUACCUCGUAACCCUACGGUUACUCACUUUUCUCCAAUCCCCAUGCUCAUGUCCCUUUCUUGACGCGAUUUUGUUGGCGUUUAUUUCAACUCCCCACGAAAGCCCUCUCUAGCCCUCGCUGUCGCAGAUAAUGGAGAGUGGGAAGGCGACCGCACUCGAAGACAAAGGCUUAGCAAAGGAAAAACGCCCACUAGGAGACAAAGGUGGUGGUGGUGACGUACCGGAAUCGGGGAAGCGGCCAAAAGUCGAAGAAACAAAGCCACGAAAAUCUUCCAUGCUUUCUUUGGAGAUGCCUUAUUAUCAGGAAUAUCUUGACCACAACGAUUCAAUGACUUCUGACAAUAAGUUGGCUAUGUCGACUCACCAACUAGUGUCCAAGGCUGCAGAUGAUGAUCUUGUCAAAUCUCUUCUCAAUUCAAUCAUACAUAGGAUGAGGUUGAAAUGGUUCGAGACUGAGCACUUAAUACUACUGAAGAGAACUAUGGAUGACAAUAUUCCUCUGGAUAGUCCCCUGAGAUCAUCCAUUGUUCCUUCAAUUCCAGGAGCACCCCGGUAUGUUCUUUUUCUGUUGUUGGAUCUUUCUUAUCAUUUGCUCACUCUUUCAUGCUUGGUGCAGUGGCUAUUGUUUCGUCUUGCUCAUGCGGCAUCUUAUUAUUCCAUUGUUACUCUUUUUUUCGUUUUUUUUUUUUUUUUUUUUUUUUUUUCCUUUGAAGAUUGUGGAGAAUCCAUUGACUUAGAUGGAAGGUUUUACAUUUUAGUGUUUUUGUAUGUCUUUGAUAUUGCAACUUCUGUUACUCAUUAGUUUUCUUCUGACUUUCUAACUUUCAGCCCCUUUUUUUUUUUUUUUUUUUUUCCCUCUCAAAUAACCCAUAAAUCAAUCAUCUUGGUGGCCUUUUGGAGUUUAGCAAAAUUGAUAUGAAUCUUUUGAGAGAGGGGGUGUCUGAUGAAGAGCUUUGUCAAGAGUUACAAUUUGCCGUAGAACUGAAGUCAGCUGUGUUGGGUGAGAGUUGUGUGAAUUCCGUAGCUGCACUAUUGAGUUGCUUCCAGGAUAAUUGUAAGAGGCUGAAGGAAUUAGAAGCCGCCACUAAAAGCCAAAAAGAGAGGGAAUCAAAGAAUUUUGUUAGAGCCGCAUCAGCAAACGCGUACUUGACCCCUAUUUUGCCAAACCUGAAGUUGACCCCCGGAUCAGUAAUCCUGAAAUUGAUCCCUGGAACAGCACGCUUGGAGCUGAAAACAGUGUUACCGGAUUACAAAAGAUGUCGUUGAUCAUGGGACCUCGUAUACGUUUUUAUAAUUUUAAAUAUUUAGGUAACUGCAGUUGAUCAUAAAGGGCCACAUUCGGACUAUAACUGUUAACUAUAUGAACUUGCUGCAACUAUCAUGGACCUCUCUAUAGGAUCUCUAUAGGAAUUUGCGUAUUAUUAUUGUUUGUUUUCUGAAAUUCA